rnacentral:rRNA from 1 species
UACGUAGGGACCAAGCGUUGUUCGGAUUUACUGGGUUUAAAGGGUGCGUAGGCGGCCAAGUAAGUCAGGAGUGAAAGUUUGCGGCUCAACCGUAAAAUUGCUUUUGAUACUGCUAGGCUGGAAUUAGGAUGAGGUCAGCGGAAUGUGGCAUGUAGCGGUGAAAUGCAUAGAUAUGCCAUAGAACACCAAUUGCGAAGGCAGCUGGCUAGACCUGGAUUGACGCUGAGGCACGAAAGCGUGGGGAGCGAACAGG